rnacentral:rRNA from 1 species
GACGAACGCUGGCGGCGUGCUUAACACAUGCAAGUCGAGCGGUAAGGCCCUCGGGUACGACGAGCGGCGAACGGGUGAGUAACACGUGGGUGACCUGCCUCUAGCUCUGGGAUAAGCCUGGGAAACUGGGUCUAAUACCGGAUAUGACUCCACGGCGCAUGUUGUGGGGUGGAAAGCCUUGUGUGGCUAGAGAUGGGCCCGCGGCCUAUCAGCUUGUUGGUGGGGUGGAUGGCCUACCAAGGCGACGACGGGUAGCCGGCCUGAGAGGGCGACCGGCCACACUGGGACUGAGACACGGCCCA